UACGGAAGGCAGCAGUGGGGAAGUAUUGCACAAUGGGCGAAAGCCUGAUGCAGCUAUGCCGCGUGUAUGAAGAAGGCCUUAGGGUUGUAAAGUACUUUCAUCGGGGAGGAAAAAACAAAACUAAUAAUUUUAUUUCUUGACGUUACCCGAAAAAGAAGCACCGGCUAACUCCGUGCCAGCAGCCGCGGUAAUACGGAGGGUGCUAGCGUUAAUCAGAAUUACUGGGCGUAAAGAGCACGUAGGUGGUUUUUUAAGUCAGAUGUGAAAUCCCUGGGCUUAACCUAGGAACUGCAUUUUGAAACUGAAAUACUAGAGUAUCGUAGAGGGAGGUAGAAUUCUAGGUGUAGCGGUGAAAUGCGUAGAUAUCUGGAGGAAUACCUGUGGCGAAAGCGGCCUCCUAAACGAAUACUGACACUGAGGGUGCGAAAGCGUGGGGAGCAAAACAGGGAUUAGAUACC
rnacentral:rRNA from 1 species